rnacentral:tRNA from 1 species
GCGGGUGUAGCUCAAUGGUAGAGUUCUGGCCUUCCAAGCCAGCUGUGAGGGUUCGANGGUUCGAUUCCUAUCACCAGCUCCA